AACGAACGCUGGCGGCAGGCUUAACACAUGCAAGUCGAGCGCCCCGCAAGGGGAGCGGCAGACGGGUGAGUAACGCGUGGGAAUCUACCCAUCUCUACGGAAUAACGCAUGGAAACGUGUGCUAAUACCGUAUACGUCCUUCGGGAGAAAGAUUUAUCGGAGAUGGAUGAGCCCGCGUUGGAUUAGCUAGUUGGUGGGGUAAAGGCCUACCAAGGCGACGAUCCAUAGCUGGUCUGAGAGGAUGAUCAGCCACACUGGGACUGAAACACGGCCCAGACUCCUACGGGAGGCAGCAGAGGGGAAUAUUGGACAAUGGGCGCAAGCCUGAUCCAGCCAUGCCGCGUGAGUGAUGAAGGCCCUAGGGUUGUAAAGCUCUUUCACCGGUGAAGAUAAUGACGGUAACCGGAGAAGAAGCCCCGGCUAACUUCGUGCCAGCCGCCGCCGUAAAAC
rnacentral:rRNA from 1 species